rnacentral:lncRNA from 1 species
UAAGAUUAAAUCAUCCUCUUCUUCCCUUUUAAACAAAACCAUGACCAAACCCUAACAUAUUCACCAAGCCCUAACAUAUUCUACUCUCAUCUCUCUCUUCCUCUCUCUGCUAGUAGCCAUGGAUGCCGUCGACCGCCACUUCUUCCACCACAGGCGCAACCAUAGACGGAGAAGCCUCCCCUCUCCCUAUACCCUUCUUUUCUCUCUCUUCAUUUCCCGCCGGUGAAACGUGCCACCAUCACCAACAACCCUAUCUGUCAGCCGCCGCCGUUCUCUGGACAAUCGAUGCCACAACUACCGCCAGCCAAUCCAGCCGCUACCAUCGGCGUAAAUAGAGGCAAGCGGAAUGAGGCCCUCAUAUAAUGUCGGCCCCCUUUAUUGUACUAUGUUGUUAUUUUUUUUUGAUGUUCAACUGUUUUCCUUUUAAUUCACGGUUCCUUAAUUUCAAACUAGUGCUUUAGAAAAAAAAAUUAGUCUUAUUUUUGUUUUCAAAUUAUUAAUAUUUUCCAUGAUUAUUGAAUGCAAAUUUUGAAUUUUAUAUUUACUCUUAAGUAGAUUCGAUGCAAAAAUUAUGUUGGAAAAGCUGCAAAAUAGACGGGUUGUAUUUAUUGGGGAUUCAAUUGGAAGAAACCCGUGGGAGUCUCAUCUGCUUGUUGUCUUCUGCAAUUCCUUAUAAAAGCAAGAUAUAUGAAGUUAAUAGAAGUUCUAUUACAAAGCACACAGGUUUCUUAUUUUUGUUUUCAAAUUAUUAAUUUCUAAUACUAAUGAAUAUAUUACCUAAUUGAACUACUCCAAUCAGCUCCUUAACUAGUUCAAUCAAAAAAAUAAAAAACUAACCAACACUAGCACACAAUGACAACAAUAUCCAUAUAUUUUGGAACAUAUACAUUGCAUCAACUGAUCAUAAUACUGAAAGGAUGAAAACAAAUACUAUCAAAAAUUACAAAACAAAUAUACUAGAAAAACAUUCUGGAGCCAGUGAUUCUUUUAUUAUGGAAAAAAACAAACAUCAAGCAACUAAUAGUUAACACUUCUGUUUAUUUUUCCCAAUUUCAAUUUUGUUCCAUUUUCACAUAGAAACCACAGAACUUGGAUUGACAUGAAAUGUGAAUUAAUUACUUGAAAAUGGUUAAGUGUAAUGACUUGAAAUGUGAAUUAGUUAUUUGAAAAUGGUUAAGUGUAGUGACUUGAAAUGUGUACUAGUUAUUUGAAAAUGGUUUAGUGUAGUUACUUGAAAAUGGUUAAGUAUAUUGACUUGAAAUGUCAAUUAGCUAUUUGAAAAUGGUUUGAGUGUAGUGACUUGAAAUGUGUACUAGUGACUUGAAAUGUGAAUAAGUUAUUUAAAAAUUAUUAAGUGUAGUGACUUGAAAAUGAUGAAGUGUAGUUACUUGAAAUUGAGAACUUGUGACUUGAAAAUGAUUAAGUAUAGUGACUUGAAAUCUGUACUAGUGACUUGAAAAUGGUUAGGUUUAGUUACUUAAAAGUGGAUACAUAUAGUGACUUGCAAUGUGAAUUAGUUAUUUGAAAAUGAUUAAGUGUAGUGACUUGAAAUGUGUACUAGUGACUUGAAAAUUGUUACUACGUAUAGUUAUUUGAAAAUGGUUAAGUAUAGUGACUUAAAAAUGUGAAUUAGUUAAUUGAAAAUAGUUAAGUGUAGUGAUUUGAAAUGCUAGUACAUGACUUGAAAAUGGUUAAGUAUAGUGACUUGAGAUGUCAAUUAGCUAUUUAAAAAUGGUUAGAGUGUAGUGACUUGAAAUGUGAAUAAGUUAUUUGAAAAUUAUUAAGUGUAGUGACUUGAAAAUAGUGUAGUGUGGUUACUUGAAAUUGUAAACUUGUGACUUAAAAACGGUUACUAGUGACUUGAAAAUAGUUAAGUGUAGUUACUUAGAAUGUGAAUUAUUUACUUGAAAGUGGUUAAGUAUAGUGAUUUGAAAUGAAUGAUUAAGUGUAGUGACUUGAAAAUGGUUAAGUAUAGUUAUUUUAAAUGUAAAGUAGUUAUUUGAAAAUGGUUAAGUGUAGUGACUUGAAACGUGAAUUACUUAUUUGAAAAUGGUUAAGUGUAGUGACUUGAAAUAUGUACUAGUGACUUGAAAAUGGUUGAAGUGUAGUUACUUGAAAAUGCUUAAGUAUAGUGACUUGAAAUGUUAAUUAGCUAUUUGAAAAUGGUUUGAGUGUAGUGACUUGAAAUGUGUACUAGUGAAUAAGUUAUUUAAAAAUUAUUAAUUGUAGUGACUUGAAAAUGAUUAAGUGUAGUUACUUGAAAUUGUGAACUUGUGACUUGAAAAUGGUUAAGUGUAGUUACUUGAAAUUGUGAACUUGAUGCUUGAAAAUGGCUAAGUGUAGUUACUUGAAAUGUGUACUAAUAACUUUAAAAAAAUAAAGUAUAGUCACUUGAAAAUGAUUAAGUAUAUUGACUUGAAAUGUGAUUUAGUUAAUUGAAAAUAGUUAAGUGUAGUGAUUUGAAAUGUGUACUAGUAACUUGAAAAUAUUCUACGUGUGGUGACUUGCAAUGUUAAUUAGUUAUUUGAAAAUGGUUAAGUGUAGUUACUUGAAAUGUAUAUUAGUUAUUUGAAAAUGAUUAAGUAUAGUGAAAUAAAAUGUCAAUUAGAUAUUUGAAAAUGGUUUAAGUAUAGUAUCUUGAAAUGUAUACUAGUAACUUGAAAAUAUUAAGUGUAGUCACAUGAAAUAUGAACUAAUGACUUGAUUUUUAUAUGUUUUGAUGUAAGAGCUCGAAGUCAACUGCUAAAAAGAAAUCUCAGACACCUGUAGACUCCAAUGAAAAAACUUUAGGAUUGUUUAAGUGUUUUGGUGGUUGUUGGAUUAAUUAUUAAGUAUUUUGUAUUUUGGAUUGUUGUUGAUUUGAAUUACUUGAAUGUUUUGAUAAUGUUGUGCGUUGUAUGAUUAUUUUAGAAAUGUGUGUUGCAUAAGGCUGUAUAUAUUGAAUUGCAUUUUUAUUUGGCAGGUGGAAUGCAAAAAAUGCAGAUUUUUGCAUCAAAAAAAAAUACAGAAAAGCGACGGACAUGAUCCUUUUCAUCCGUC